rnacentral:lncRNA from 1 species
AUGAAUGAGACUAGUGCCCUUAUCAAAAAAGGCUCAAGGGAGCUGUUUUCCCUUUCACCACGUGAGGACGCAGCAAGAAGGCACCAUCUUGGAAGCACUGCGAGCAGGCCCUCACCAGAUACUGCAUCUGCUGGGAACUUGAUUUUGGACUUUCCAGUCUCCAGAACUAGGAGAUCUAUUGAUUCAGAAGAUUGAGAUAUGCAUUGCAAACUGGCAGAGCAUUGAAAAGCAGCAAGACCCAAUAAAUGGAGGUUUGUGAAAAUCACUGUAUAUUUUUGUGAUUGUUUCUUUCCCAAGCCAUGCAUGCUGGUAUUUGAAGGCAUCCCACAUUGAAGACCCUGGGGCACAUCUGGACAUCCCCGAAGGAGCAGAGUCUUUUGUCACUGGCUCUGUGUCUCUCAACCAGUCUCCCGUGGGUCGUCAGAGAUUGUCAUUCUCGGAGCUGCUUCCAGCUGCAGCCCUCAAAACAACAACCCUCCCUUUUACUCUAGAUGACACUCAUUCUCUGUGUCUUCCCUGGAAGUCCCCAGGCUUGUGGGGUAUGUGUGUGAUACCAGCUCCUACAAGAAAUAAAUUUAACUGAGCACGGUGACUCACACCUGUAAUCCCAGAACUUUGGGAGGCCAAGGCAGGCAGAUCACUUGAGGCCAGAAGUUCAAAACCAGCCUGGCCAACAUAGUGAAACCUCGUCUCUACUAAAAAUAUAAAAAUUAGACGUGGUAGUGCACCCCUGUAAUCCCAGUUACUCAGGAGGCUGAGGCAGGAGAAUCACUUGAACCCAGGAGGUGGAGGUUGCAGUGAGCUGAGAUGUCACUACUGCCUCCAGCAUGGGCAACAGCAAGAUUAUGAGAUUACGUCUCUAAAAAAAAUUCUCCAAGGAGUACAAGUAAAGCCUCCCCAGGAAACCCUAAGUCUUCAUUCCAGAAGAGAGAGAAUCCUGCCGGGCUGGUCUGAAGGGACAGCUGGACGGAUUGGGUUGCAGAAUACACACCCUUGGGGCCCCUUACUUUGAUCUGCGGAUACUUGGUGCUUGCUUGCCAUAGAGACGAGGAAAAAAUGUGGCUCCUCUGGGCCUGCAUCCAUUCAUUUUUCUCCAGAAAGUUGGUUCACCCUUCAGUUCUGGAGGCUCCCAAAAUGUUCCUCAGAGCACCUGGAAUAUAUAUUUGCUUUAACCAGUGAUUGCCAAGGCCGAGCCUGCUGGGUUUCUGUUUGUUCUGCUCAGCCACAGAGGCUGGGGCUGGUCCCUGAGGCUGGCCCCCACUCUGUGCAUGAUAAAGGAUGGAAGCUCCCACCUAGACCCACUCCUCAAAAAGAGGAGCCUGGGUGAAGCGCCGGUGGGAGGUAAAGGCUGAGUCUGCAAAGGCCUUCGCCUCCUCCCUACUCUCUGGAAAACCCCCUGGAUACUAUGCAAUUUAUCCAAUCCCAGAGUCUGAUGCAGCAGAAAGAUGAAGGCAGAGGCCAGAUCUAAUUUCCAAUACUCUGGUUUAAUAGCUGUGUAACCUUGGACAAACAACAUAACCUCUCUGAAUCUCACUCGCUUCACCUAUAAAGGCAAAACUAUGUAUGUAUUUCUGUCUCCCUUCUAAAGGCAUUUGAGAAACCUACAGACCAUGGCAUUCGAUGCUGCUGAUAGAGGAAAGAGACAUGGAGGAAGGGGAGCAAACGGAAGAGGAAGGCAGGACGCAGCCGAAAUGAUCCUCCACAAGACUCUAUUGCAAGAGGACCUCAGCAAAUUGAUCUCUGAGCUUCCUCACAGCCCAAGCAAAGAAGGUAAAGCAAUGACUUACAAAACCUAGAGUGUCCAUUAAGUUAAAAAUAAGACUGCCGCUCAGAAGCAGCCAGCUUUGCUUCCCCGGGCCUUCCUAAAGGGGCCAGAUGGCAGGUGGAGGUAGAGGAUAUGUGUGUAGUGGGCCCCUCCCUGCGUGGGGGUAAUACUAUCUCCCAGGGUCUUUGUGAGUCUGAAAUAAAAUGAAAUGCUUGACAGUGCCAGCUAAAGUGGCUGUAGGUGCUUAAUAUGUGCACAUUUCCAUCCUUCCUCCUACUCUGUCUGCGCUCACGGAAGGGGUAUCUGUAGAUCUUACAGGCAUAUGAGGAUUCAGCUCUUCAAUCAUUCAGCAAAUAUUUAUCGAACACCUGAGUUAGGCAAACGUGGGAAUCCCCCUCAACCUAGCUGGCGUCUUCCCUGCUGUCCCCAGAUCCUUGUCCUCAGA